rnacentral:rRNA from 1 species
CAGCAGCCACGGUAAUACGUAGGUGGCAAGCGUUGUCCGGAAUUAUUGGGCGUAAAGCGCGCGCAGGCGGAUCAGUUAGUCUGUCUUAAGAGUUCGGGGCUUAACCCCGUGAUGGGAUGGAAACUGCUGAUCUAGAGUAUCGGAGAGGAAAGUGGAAUUCCUAGUGUAGCGGUGAAAUGCGUAGAUAUUAGGAAGAACACCAGUGGCGAAGGCGACUUUCUGGACGAAAACUGACGCUGAGGCGCGAAAGCCAGGGGAGCGAACGGGAUUAGAUACCCGGGUAGUCCCUGUCUCUUAUACA